rnacentral:pre_miRNA from 4 species
UUUUAUGGAUAAGCAAAGAAAGUGGUUUCCUGAGAUGGAAUCUGUUCCUGUUGAAGAUGCUGUGAA